ACAAAAGAAUGUAAAAAAAUGUCUACAACAAGAUAACAUAAUACUUUAAAAACAACAACUACAAAAAAUUCACUAUGGCCUAAAUCUCAAGACGUCUGUAUUUCCAUCUUUUUUAGUUGUCGUUGGCAUAGCAGGUGCAGCAAUCCUGAUAGCUGCCUCCAUUAUUGCUGGAAUAUGUAUAUUAAACAGGCGAAAGAAGAGAUAUGAAGAAGCCAGGUUGCAGUAUCUUUCACGUGCAGCAUCCCCCACAUCAGUGGGAAGUCAUACCUCGGGUUCUCCAGCAUAUAACGACAAGUUCUUCUUUGGUGGCAUGGAGAAAGGCAAAACUGUCAAAUUCAAAGGAGCCAAAGAAGAUUCAAAAAGAUCAAAGAAACAUUCUCAAAAAAAUGGAAAAGAAUCGCCCACCAAAAAUGGCCACCCACCUAA